GCAGGACACUGUAAAUCAGUGUAUGGUUCCUAUUCUUUUGCUCCACAUCCCUACUUAAGGUUGUUGGAUUUGCUUAUGAAACAACAGCAAUGAUGGUUUCAUUUCAAGUCAUACCGACUGAGGGUUCAACAGGUCUGGGUUCAAACCUAAAAGGUCACUGGAGCCGCUUGCUCGCAGGUAGUCAGACACUUGCAGAAGCUCUGAAGACAACAGUCGAUGUAGCUGCUAAGAUUUCAAACAAGAGUGUGCUUCCUUCUAGCUAACCUCCGCGCCCUGGGGAAUGGGAGUGCUUGUAUGUUUGUGAUUAUCAAUAAAGUUGUGUAUUUGAUGCGAAGAUUAUUGAAACAGGCUUAUCUUUGAGCAAACUGUGAACUAGUUUAAUUACUUGUAUCUAGUAAUGGGAACAUGUCACUCCAAUAAUCAGUAAUAACCUUAAUGUCU